GCGGCGGCCGGGAAGCAUGGCGGGUCGCCGGGCGCCGGGGGAGAAGCGCUGGCAGCUGGUGCGCUGGUACGUGCAGGAGGGACGGUUCCGGAUUGAGGAGAGGACGCUGACAGCCUUCCAGUGGCUCUACAGCCCCCAGCAGCAUCGCAUCCUCAGCCGUGCUGACCUGGAGUCUCCCUCCAGGGGUGGCUGAAUAAAAGGAGAAAGGAAGUAAUGUCAUUUGGGGGAACACCCUGGUCUGGCCGAUGACAAAACUGAGGCACAGAGACAGUGGCAGUGCUCACAACCACUAUGCAUACUCCCUCUCAGAGAACAGGACAUGUGCCCCAACGUGGGAGAUGGUGAAAGUAAUUUGUAUCUUUACAGAGAGGAAAUAAAUCCACAAACCAUAAAUAAAUGAGCUUAGCAUCAGUCCUAAUCAGGUUUCAGAGUCUGUUAUUAAAG
rnacentral:lncRNA from 1 species